rnacentral:misc_RNA from 1 species
UACUGUAUCCGUCCAUAUUAUUUGUCGCUUUAAGUUUUUUUAAUAUUUAAUCAUCCGUUUUAUUAAAAAAAUUAUAAUUUUUUUUUGACUUGUUUUAUUAUCAAAUAUACUUUAAAUAUGAUUUAUAUUUUUUUAUAUUUGUAUUAAUUUUUUUAAAUAAAAUGAAUGAUCAAACGUUACAAAUAAAAAAUCAAAGCGACAAGUAAUAUGAGAUGAAUGU